CCUACGGGAGGCAGCAGUGGGGAAUAUUGCGCAAUGGGCGAAAGCCUGACGCAGCAACGCCGCGUGCGGGAUGACGGCCUUCGGGUUGUAAACCGCUUUCAGCAGGGACGAAGGGUUACCUUGACGGUACCUGCAGAAGAAGCACCGGCUAACUACGUGCCAGCAGCCGCGGUGAUACGUAGGGUGCGAGCGUUGUCCGGAAUUAUUGGGCGUAAAGAGCUUGUAGGCGGUUUGUUGCGUCGGAAGUGAAAACUCAGGGCUUAACCCUGAGCCUGCUUUCGAUACGGGCAGACUUGAGGGAUGUAGGGGAGAACGGAAUUCCUGGUGGAGCGGUGGAAUGCGCAGAUAUCAGGAGGAACACCAGUGGCGAAGGCGGUUCUCUGGACAUUUCCUGACGCUGAGAAGCGAAAGCGUGGGGAGCAAACAGGCUUAGAUACCCUGGUAGUCCACGCCGUAAACGGUGGGCACUAGGUGUGGGACCCAUUCCACGGGUUCCGUGCCGAAGCUAACGCAUUAAGUGCCCCGCCUGGGGAGUACGGCCGCAAGGCUAAAACUCAAAGGAAUUGACGG
rnacentral:rRNA from 1 species